AUUGAACGCUGGCGGCAUGCUUUACACAUGCAAGUCGAACGGUAACAGGUUAAGCUGACGAGUGGCGAACGGGUGAGUAAUGCAUCGGAACGUGCCCGAUCGUGGGGGAUAACGCAGCGAAAGCUGCGCUAAUACCGCAUACGAUCUGAGGAUGAAAGCGGGGGACCGUAAGGCCUCGCGCGAUCGGAGCGGCCGAUGUCAGAUUAGGUAGUUGGUGGGGUAAAGGCUCACCAAGCCGACGAUCUGUAGCUGGUCUGAGAGGACGACCAGCCACACUGGGACUGAGACACGGCCCAGACUCCUACGGGAGGCAGCAGUGGGGAAUUUUGGACAAUGGGCAAAAGCCUGAUCCAGCAAUGCCGCGUGCAGGAAGAAGGCCUUCGGGUUGUAAACUGCUUUUGUACGGAGCGAAAAGGCUCUCUCUAACACAGGGGGCUCAUGACGGUACCGUAAGAAUAAGCACCGGCUAACUACGUGCCAGCCGCCGCAGUAACAC
rnacentral:rRNA from 1 species